CAGCAAGACUCCGUCUCAAAAAAAAAAAAAAUUUCUUUUCUUGUGUGUUGUUUGACUCUGUUUAUGGUUAUAAUUUUAGUUUUCAUUAAACAGAAGUUUUUCCACAUUGAUUUGAAACACAACGUUGACAUAAAGCUAUAAAUGCCAUUGUUCCUGUCCUGGCCAAUGACAUGUAAUCAGAAGUCAUUAGACUAAGAAUCCAGAAAAGGCACAGACUCAGCUAGUGGACAGUGUCUGUGGAAGAUGGCUUGGAAGAGUGAAAACAGUUUUGCUGAGGACAGGUAAGGUAUGGGUCAUUCUGAUAUUAUCUAAUGUUAUCUAUAUAUCAUUACCAUAUAUACCAUAUCAUUAUCUAAUGUCAUCUAUAUAUCAUUACCAUAUAUACUAAUUAUCUAAUGUUAUGAUUUUUUUAGUUAAAAAGCAAUACAUUAGAUAGUGUAAUAACCAUUUAAUUUGGUUUAUAAGUUACAGAAAAAAAUUUUUUGUUACUUUGAAGUCACCAUUUAUUUUAUCAAAUGAUGUAAUUUUACCUCUCCAAGUAAUUUAAACUCCCCAGUCCUUAGAAUCUAGGUAUAAAUGAAGCUCAGAGCUCUCUUUCAAUUGGAUAAUUAGCUCACGAGUGGUUGCUCUAUUUCUCACUCACCUCAUUCACAUACAGGGCUCAGCUCUGAAUUGCUUCUGGCUCAUUCCAAAAGCCAAGUGCUCAAACAUGAAGACUUCUUUUUAUUGGAAGUAUUUGAAAGGGCAUGCCAUAUUCCAAAUAUGAAUUCCAAAUAUGCUUUAAAUAAUGGCAGCAUCAAUAAAGUCCACUUUUCUCUAAGACUAUUUUUUAAGAGGCCAAAACAUUUGAAUGAAGCAGUUGAUUUCUAAAAAGUGACUUUUAAUGUUUCUUGUACCUUCAAUCAUACCUAGACACUGAAUGGAUUUCAGAAAGUCAUAGGGCCUGGGUGGAAGCCCCAACACAACAGCAGAGUGGAAUCAUGGAUUGGCUAUUCUAUAAUCCAUUCGCCGUGACUGAGGGUGAGAAGUGGAAUUCUAUUUGAGGCUAUAUUUGAGAGCCAUCUUUGAAAAUGAAGAAGUAGUUUGGGCUCUGGGUAUCUUUUCUUUCCUUUUUUUCCCCUUUUUUUCUGAUACAGCCUUCAGCUGAAUGAAAUGUGGGCUUUGAGAUCACCUGUGAUAGCAUUCUCUA
rnacentral:lncRNA from 1 species